UGAGAACCAAAAAAAAAAUGGAGAAGACGAGCUUCAACUAAAACGAUAAUUUUAAUUUUGUUGGCUGCUGGUAAUGUCGUUACUGACCUACGGACAAGACUUGACCCAGAAAAUAUGUAAAUGCUUGUUUAACUUCAAGCAAAUUUGAGCCUGACCAAACUUGAUGAGACGUCCGUGAAAAGAGUGGCCAAACUGCUGGAAACAUCUGACGAACGUGAAACCCGCCUCGAAUUGGUAUUAGAAGUCAAUCCAUUAAAAAAUGAAGCAAGAUUUUCGAUGAAAUUUUCUAUUUUAAAUUUUUCAUGAGGCAGUGUCAUUGCGUUGAACUUUUUAAAGUUAAAAAUGGAAAAACAAAUUUUCUCUACGUAGGCCUCUAGUUUUUAACAUGAAAAGUAUAGAUAUUAGUAAUUUUUAUGCUAAAAACUAUCAAGCUGCAAAUAAAUGUGCUAAAAUUUUUGUC